AUUGAACGCUGGCGGCGUGCCUAACACAUGCAAGUGGAGCGACGAACCAGACUUCGGUCUGGGGCCAAGCCGCGAACGGGUGAGUAAUACGUGGGUAACCUGCCCCGAUGAUCGGGACAACCCGGGGAAACCCGGGCUAAUACCGAAUGUGGUCGCGGUCCGUGAGGACUGUGACGAAAGGAAGCUUCGGCCUCCGCAUCGGGAUGGGCCCGCGGCCCAUUAGCUUGUUGGUGGGGUAAUGGCCUACCAAGGCAUCGAUGGGUAGCUGGUCUGAGAGGACGAUCAGCCACACUGGGACUGAGACACGGCCCAGACUCCUACGGGAGGCAGCAGUGGGGAAUCUUGCGCAAUGCGCGAAAGCGUGACGCAGCAACGCCGCGUGGGGGAAGAAGGCUUUCGGGUCGUAAACCCCUUCAGUUGGGACGAAGCUUCGCCGGUGAAUAGCCGGCCGGAGUGACGGUACCUUCACAAGAAGCCCCGGCUAACUACGUGCCAGCAGCCGCGGUAAAGCACGACU
rnacentral:rRNA from 1 species